GAAGUUUCAACGACUCAUUGGUUGUGACGAAGGUGGAGUCUCUUGGCUGCGUGGCCAGUAAAGGGCUAGAAUAAAGCGGGUUCCGCCUCUUCCUCGGGUGACUGAGUCCUUCCGUUGUCGUCGGGCAGUGCUCUACCUGUUUCUCCAGUGUUCUUCCACAUGCAUGAGAAACUUGGUUAAGGGGGCAGACAGACAUGUAACUAUAUAGUGAGAUGAAGAAACGACCCAGGGACACUUAUUCUUCCAGUGGCCUAUCCUGAUACCUUUUCCAAUUUACCAUGCUUGUUACUUUACACUUUUAUCACUAUACAAAUAGGUAAUAAUUUUAA